rnacentral:rRNA from 1 species
GUCCACGCCGUAACGUUGGCGCUAGAUGUGGGCCACAUUCCACGUGGUCCGUGUCGCAGCUAACGCAUUAAGCGCCCGCCUGGGAGUACGGCCGCAAGGCUAAACUCAAAGGAAUUGACGGGGCCCGCACAAGCGGCGGAGCAUGCGGAUUAAUUCGAUGCAACGCGAAGAACCUUACCAAGGCUUGACAUAUAGAGGAAAAGUUCAGAAAUGUUCUCCCUAGCAAUAGUCUCUAUACAGGUGGUGCAUGGUUGUCGU